rnacentral:rRNA from 1 species
CACGUAGGGCGCGAGCGUUGUCCGGAAUUAUUGGGCGUAAAGAGCUCGUAGGCGGCCUGUUGCGUCCGCUGUGAAAGCCCGGGGCUUAACCCCGGGCCUGCAUUCGAUACGGGCAGACUAGAGUUCGGUAGGGGAGUCUGGAAUUCCUGGUGUAGCGGUGAAAUGCGCAGAUAUCAGGAGGAACACCGGUGGCGAAGGCGGGACUCUGGGCCGAUACUGACGCUGAGGAGCGAAAGCGUGGGGAGCAAACAGG